UAUGGCUAUAUCACAUUGAAACCCAGGGUCCCAUAUGAUCACCAAAGUUAAGCAAUGUUGAGCCUGGUCACUAUCUAGAUGGGUGAUCACUUGGGAAUACCAGAUGUUGUAAG